UAUAGAGUCUUCAUAUUGAGGGAAGUAUUUUUCAUUCAAUUGUUAACAUAAAUGAAAAAGCUGCUGAAAAUGACCAUUAUAUAGUUUAAUUUAAUUAUCUUGAACAAAACUUUUGGGAUUAAUUUUUUUGCCAUUUAAACUGUCAGUUAGGGUUAUCGAUCUACCUAUCUCCAACCCUUUUCUUUUGUGGAAGCACUUUGUUGAACUGAACGAAAUGUGAAGGCCAGUGAUGUGAAGGACCUGAUAGCAGAGACGCUGAGAUAUGCGCCUCACCGAGGAGGAAGGGAAUGACAGUAGGGGGCAGUUUGUGAGCUGAAGAGCCUGAUGGACGGACGGAAGGAAGAGAGCAGCAUGAGAGACAGACAUAGGGACACACACAAGCCUCAGAAACCACAAAGCAGCAAGUCCUGAAGGGAGAGAGAAGUCACCAUCUUUAGUAUAGUUGUUUUCCCCAUCACAGGUUUAUUUAAUUUAUUUUGCCUUUCUUAUUUUAUUCCUACAACCCUUGCGGGCAAGUCGGAAGAUUACGUUCUGUUUUGUUUUGUUUAUUUUUUUUUUAUUAAUCUGUUGAAACAAAGUUCUCUGGUUUUGGGUUCAUUUCUAAUAAACACGGUCAGCCGACCUAAACCCAUACCUUCCUGCAUCUGUAUGUUGGAUAUAUCGAUAGAAUA